rnacentral:rRNA from 1 species
AAGCCUAAUACUGCAAGUCGAGCGGACAGAAGGGAGCUUGCUCCCGGAUGUUAGCGGCGGACGGGUGAGUAACACGUGGGUAACCUGCCUGUAAGACUGGGAUAACUCCGGGAAACCGGAGCUAAUACCGGAUAGUUCCUUGAACCGCAUGGUUCAAGGAUGAAAGACGGUUUCGGCUGUCACUUACAGAUGGACCCGCGGCGCAUUAGCUAGUUGGUGGGGUAAUGGCUCACCAAGGCGACGAUGCGUAGCCGACCUGAGAGGGUGAUCGGCCACACUGGGACUGAGACACGGCCCAGACUCCUACGGGAGGCAGCAGUAGGGAAUCUUCCGCAAUGGACGAAAGUCUGACGGAGCAACGCCGCGUGAGUGAUGAAGGUUUUCGGAUCGUAAAGCUCUGUUGUUAGGGAAGAACAAGUGCGAGAGUAACUGCUCGCACCUUGACGGUACCUAACCAGAAAGCCACGGCUAACUACGUGCCAGCAGCCGCGGUAAUACGUAGGUGGCAAGCGUUGUCCGGAAUUAUUGGGCGUAAAGGGCUCGCAGGCGGUUUCUUAAGUCUGAUGUGAAAGCCCCCGGCUCAACCGGGGAGGGUCAUUGGAAACUGGGAAACUUGAGUGCAGAAGAGGAGAGUGGAAUUCCACGUGUAGCGGUGAAAUGCGUAGAGAUGUGGAGGAACACCAGUGGCGAAGGCGACUCUCUGGUCUGUAACUGACGCUGAGGAGCGAAAGCGUGGGGAGCGAACAGGAUUAGAUACCCUGGUAGUCCACGCCGUAAACGAUGAGUGCUAAGUGUUAGGGGGUUUCCGCCCCUUAGUGCUGCAGCUAACGCAUUAAGCACUCCGCCUGGGGAGUACGGUCGCAAGACUGAAACUCAAAGGAAUUGACGGGGGGCCCGCACAAGCGGUUGGAGCAUGUGGGUUUAAUUCGAAAGCAACGCCGAAGAACCNUUACCAAGGUCUUUGACAUCCUCCUGAUCACUCCUACGAGAUAGGGUUUUUCCCUUUCCGGGG